ACCAUCGGAGAUCCCCUCUCGACACAACCUGUUAUGAUGAAUACUUCCGUUGAAGGCAAAUCUGAAAGGUCAAACGUAAAUGGUAGACAUGUGAAGUGCUCGCGCGAUUAUUUGUUGAUAAUAAAAAAAACGAAAUUAUUUAAAUAAAUUUGAAGAUAUUUAGGCGUAUAAGUAUCACAACUUUUCGAUUGCAAGUAAGGUUAUUAAAGUGAACAAGAAUAAAUGAAUUUAUAUACAUAUAUUUACAGUAAAAUAAGUGCAGUUAUAAUUACGAUUGUUGGGAAUUCGCGGUAAAGUGAGGUUAGCUUAAAUGUAAGUUUUCAUUUCAUUGAAUUAUACACAAAAAUAUUAAUAAAACUCAUUAGCUUUUAGCAAGAUUAUACACAUAUGAAUGCUGCGUGUUUGCUAAAAAGACUUUCUAUCACAACGAUCCCAACAAACUAAAAGAUUUAAGAUAAGGAUGCCGUCAAAGCAAAACCAGAAAACGCCUUCAGUCAGCUGCCCCGCAUGCAAUUCGCCGGACGAUGAUGAAAUGGUUCAGUGCGACUAUUGUCAUAGUUGGUGGCACUAUACGUGUGUGGGAGUCGGAGACAGCGUCAGCGAGAGAGAAUUCAAGUGUCCGAAGUGUGCACCUUCUCCUUCAGAAAACCCGCACCCUCAAGAAGACUCAAAAGGUAGUAAAAACAACUCGCCCGCGACAGAGUCGGCAGGGAAAUCUACGAAAGCAAAUACGCCGAGCGAAAGGAAUUUUGAUCAAGCUGGUAGCGUUAUCUCAUCCAGCACCAAAGCAAAGACUCGUUUGAAUCUUCAGAAACUCGAGGCACAAAAAGCUCUGAUGGACAGACAAUUGGAGCUAGAACGUCGAGAUCAAGAUCGCAAGUUAGAGCAGCAGAAAUUGCAAAAGGUGUCGGAGAUCGAGAAGAAACAGUUGCAAUUGGACCAGAAGUUUCUCGAUGAAAAAUUUCGUUUAAUAGAAGAAGAUUUGCUCGACGAGGAUGUAAGUAGUACAAGUGUACGUUCAUUGCAAGGCACCUUUAAUAAAGUUAUGCAAUGGCGAGGCCAUGUUAAUGCACUCAUGGACCAACCACCCGGGUUGACAACGCAACAGCACGUAGACCAGCUCAGCACAGCAAGUAGAGGUGUCCCGAAUCCAGACGCACAAGUGCCGUCGAUGACACUAUCCACAGCAGGUUUAGGUCAAACCAGUUCAGUACUGACUCAGGGAUGGGCACCGAAUGCCGACCUGUACAACACUGCCUGUGAAAGUGUUCCGAUUCCAGGGAUACACGGACAAUCGAUGUUACCCGCAGCGGGGCCGAGUACGGCAAAUUCCGUGCGGGCGCAUGAACGGGGACCAACAUCUCAACAGUUGGCAACGCGACAGGUAAUACCAAGAGAACUACCUAGUUUUACCGGGAAUCCCGAAGAAUGGCCCCUGUUUAUAAGCUCUUAUAAUACGUCUACUGAAAUCUGUGGUUAUACAGAAGCAGAAAAUUUAAUUAGGCUACAGCGUUGUUUAAGAGGCCCAGCGCUGGAAGCUGUUCGAAGCAGACUUAUGUUACCUGCAUCGGUACCGCACGUUAUAAAGACGCUACAAACGCUGUAUGGAAGACCAGAAUUACUCAUCCACAUGUUGCUUCAAAAGGUGCGCGAGGUUUCACCGCCGAGAUCCGACAAGUUAGAUACGUUAAUUGGAUUUGGGAUGACUGUACAGACUCUUUGCGACCACCUGCAGGCAGCAGGGCAGGAGACCCAUUUAAAUAAUCCCUCACUACUGUUUGAAUUGGUAGAAAAAUUGCCAGGAAACCUGAAGUUGGAUUGGGCGUUGCACAAACAACGUUAUGAUACAGUAAAUUUGCAAACUUUCGCCCAAUACAUGGCGAUACUUACGUCAGCGGCUUCCCAAGUGACUCUUCCUGUCGACCGCAAGCUACAGCGAGGAGGCAAAACAGAAAAAGGAAAGCAAAGUUUUUGUGGAGCACAUUCGUCGGAAGAUGCUUCCAAUAUCAUGGUCGAAGAACGAUCCGAUCGAGAACGAAUCCGCACUCCGGAAUGUUAUGUAUGCAAGAAACCCGAUCACAGAGUGAAAAAUUGUCCCGUAUUUGCCAAGAUGACUGUAGACCACCGCUGGAAAGCUGUUAGUGAAUACAGUCUCUGUCGUACCUGUUUGGGGGCCCAUGGUAGGCGACCAUGUAAAACAAUGAAAUUGUGUGGUGUCGGUGAUUGUCAGCUGAAACAUAAUCCACUUUUACACUCUAGUUCGCGGAAGCAUGAAAGUAGCUCGAAAGCCACACCUUCGGAAGCGCUAACAAACUAUCACCACUCCACUAGCACGACGUUGUUCCGAAUCGUUCCUGUUACAUUACACGGAAACAAUCGUACGGUAAAGACAUUUGCUUUUUUGGAUGAUGGAUCAUCGAUGACUUUAAUAGAAGAAACAAUCGCAAACCAGCUUGCAUUAGAAGGAGCACAGGCUCCGCUGUGCCUGCAGUGGACAGCGAACGUGACCAGAUCCGAGAAGCAUUCUAAACGCGUCUCGUUGGAAAUCACCGGUAGUUAUAACGAACAAGUAUAUCCACUCUCGAACGUGCGAACUGUAAAAAAUUUAAACCUACCUCGCCAAUCAAUGCAGUAUUCCAAACUAUCUAAGCAAUAUGCCUACCUAAAAGGAUUACCUAUCGAAGAUUAUGAUGACGCGGUACCCCAGAUACUAAUCGGAAAUGAUAAUUCUCACUUGGGUGCCGUACUAAAAAUUAGGGAAGGUAUGACAUUCGAACCAAUCGCUGCUAAAACCCGAUUGGGAUGGACCAUUUACGGUGCCGGUAAAGACGAAGAAAGUCACCAUUCACAUAGUUAUCAUAUCUGUCAGUGUAAUCGGCAACUUCAUGAUCUGGUGAGAGAUAAUUUCUUGGUUGAUAAUAUAGGGGUAGCAAUUGCCGUGCCGCCAGAUUCUGACGAAAGCCGCCGAGCGAAUCGUAUUCUUCGUGAUACUACUAAGCGUAUUGGAAACAAUUUCGAAGUCGGCCUUUUAUGGAAGUUCGAUGCGUUUGAGCUGCCGGACAGCUACGCAAUGGCUAUUCGCCGAAUGGUCUGUUUGGAACGACGAAUGGAAAAUGAUUCAAGAAUAGGUGCAAGUGUAAAGCGUCAGAUCCGUGAAUAUAUAGAGAAAGGAUACAUCAGUAAAGCCACCGCUGAACAACUGAGAGCGGCAGAUCCCCGGAGAAUUUGGUACCUGCCACUGGGAGUGACGAUAAACCCGAAAAAACCGGAAAAAGUGCGGAUCUUUUGUGACGCCGCAGCGGAAGUAGAUUCCGUAUCGCUAAACACAAUGCUGCUGAAGGGACCCGAUCUGCUCAGCUCAUUACCGACUGUGUUGUUUGGAUUUCGUGAACGAAGGGUGGCCAUCUGUGCUGACAUCCAAGAGAUGUUCCACCAGAUAUUCAUUCGGAAAGAAGACCGUCAAUCCCAAAGGUUGCUUUGGCGAGAUGCUGCUGAUCGAGUUCCGGACGUGUAUCUUAUGAACGUGGCGACAUUCGGUGCUUCAUGCUCACCAUGCCUAGCGCACUACGUUAAGGACCUUAACGCAGCUGAGUUCGCCGGGGCAUACCCAGAAGCGGUGGUAGCGAUUACUAAGAAGCACUAUGUAGAUGACUACCUCGAUAGUUUCGACGAUGAGGAUAAAGCGGUUCACAUGGCUUUGGAUGUUAAAUAUAUACAUUCACGCGCGGGAUUUCAUUUAAGAAAUUGGAUCUCCAACUCUUCGAAUGUUUUACGCCGCAUUGGGGAGAAAAAGGUGACCGCAGGAAAACGUUUAGAUUUACACGACAAAUGUAUCACCGAACGAGUUCUGGGAAUGCUGUGGGACCCCAAGCAAGACGUUUUUACCUUUUCUACAACAAUGGCCACGAAUACUCAGCAUCCUACCAAACGACAAGUGUUACGAACAGUUAUGUCUCUGUUCGAUCCCUUGGGUCUUCUAUCGCAUUUUAUAAUUCACGGUAAAAUCCUUAUUCAGGACCUCUGGCGUGUACAAAUUGGAUGGGACGACUUAAUUCCAUGUCGACAGCACUCUAGGUGGCUGAGAUGGACAAGCGAGUUCGAGAAAUUGUCAUGUGUACGGGUAAAUCGAUGUUACUUUCCCACGGUUCCGGAGCGGAAGAUAAAGCAGCUUCAACUGCAUAUGUUCGUGGAUGCCAGCGAGGAGGCAUAUGCAUGCGUAGCGUACUUGCGAGCCGAGGUAUACGAUGGAGUCCAAGUAGCGCUAGUUGCAGCUAAAUCAAAGGUUGCGCCCUUGAAAACGCUUUCUAUUCCUAAGCUUGAGCUUCAAGCCGCUGUGCUUGGCACCCGUCUACAAAAAACUAUUCGCAGUACCCAUAGUUUACCAAUUACCGAGAGUAUUUACUGGAGCGAUUCGCAAACCGUAUUAGCUUGGAUAAAUCCAAACCACCGUAAAUUUAGACAAUUUGUUUCCUGUAGAGUAGGAGAAAUUCUCACCUUAACUAAUCCUGAAGACUGGCGAUGGGUUCCAUCUAAGGAUAAUGUGGCGGACGAUGCAACCAAAUGGGGCAAAGGCUCACAUCUAUCUCCUGACAGUCGCUGGUUCUGGGGCCCAAGUUUUUUGUACCUUUCUGAAGAUCAGUGGCCAACCAAUCAACGGACUUUUACCGAAACAACGGAGGAACUUCAAUCUUGUUUUACACAUGCAGAAGUCAAAUGUGAAAAUCUAGUUCUAUGGGAGCGUUUUUCAAAGUGGAACCGAUUGUUAAACACAGUAGCUUAUGUAAAUCGAGCCGUUCGAAACAUGCAACGGAAAUCAAAAGGAUCACCAUUGCUAUUAGAUUGUCUGACUCAGGAAGAACGGUCAAAGGCUGAAACAAUUAUUUGGCGACUUGUACAGGAAGAAGUGUACUCUGCAGAAUUAUCAACUUUAGCGACACCGAUUCCGAAAUCGUCUACGAAGCGAUAUAAAAAUACAAAGCUCCUGGGUUUGUCGGCCUUCAAAGAUCCAGAUGGAAUAGUCCGGAUGGAGAGCCGUAUCGCGGGCGCUGUUUUCGUUUCUUUUGAUACAAGAAAUCCGAUUAUAAUUCCCAAAAAUCAUCACGCUACUAGACUCCUAGUCGAGUGGUACCAUUAUCGCUACCUACACGCCAACAAUGAGACGGUAAUUAAUGAAAUCAAACAGCGCUUUCAUAUUUCUCAUCUUCGUUCUCUGGUGCGACAAAUUUCAAAAUCAUGUUUCGUUUGCCGAGUCAGAAAGACGCAGCCAACAGUACCCCGUAUGGCACCAUUGCCAGCUGCUAGAAUGAAGGCUUUCGUCAGACCGUUUUCCUAUAUAGGUCUGGAUUAUUUUGGUCCGCUCCCAGUACGUAUUGGAAGAAGUGUGGUGAAGAGAUGGGUCGCAUUGUUUACGUGCCUUACCAUACGAGCCGUGCACCUGGAGGUGGUACACUCUCUGUCGUCGGAAUCCUGCAAAAUGGCGAUUAGACGAUUUAUAGCCAGACGAGGAUCGCCGGUUGAGAUUUAUAGCGACAACGGCACGAAUUUCGUCGGCGCCAGCAAUGAUCUACGGUGGGAGCUUGGAAAAAUUGAUCGUGAUAUGGCAGCAGUUUUUACCAACACUAAUACGCAGUGGAAAUUUAAUCCGCCCUCUGCUCCCCACAUGGGUGGCUCAUGGGAGCGACUCGUGAGAUCGGUGAAAACGGCUCUAGAUUCAAUGUAUACCUGUCGAAAUCCAGAUGAAGAGACAUUUGCUACUAUACUACUGGAAGCGGAAAGUAUAGUGAACUCUCGUCCGCUUACGUUCGUUUCCAUGGAGUCUUCAGAACAAGAAGCAAUUACCCCCAAUCAUUUUCUGAUGAUGAGUUCGAGUGGAGUCACACAACCAUCGAGAUCGUUGGAGGAAUCGCAAAAGAGUCUUCGUGGAAAUUGGAAUCUUAUUCGUGUUAUGGUAGAUCAGUUUUGGAAGAGAUGGGUACGUGAGUACCUUCCAACUCUUACCCGCCGUACCAAGUGGUUCACAGACGUCGCACCGUUGAAAGUAGGCGAUCUGGUUAUGGUAGUAGAAGAUAAUCGGCGCAAUGGCUGGAUAAGAGGACGAAUUUUGGAACUGGUCACUGGGCAAGAUGGCAGAUCACGGCGAGCGGUUGUACAGACUUCAACCGGUGUGUUGCGUAGACCAAUAGCAAAACUGGCGAAACUGGACUUGGAAGUAAAGCCGGUAAAACUGGGUCAGGAUCUCUAGACCAGUGUUACGCCCCGGGGAAUGUUGCGAAGUAAUACAACCAUCGGAGAUCCCCUCUCGACACAACCUGUUAUGAUGAAUACUUCCGUUGAAGGCAAAUCUGAAAGGUCAAACGUAAAUGGUAGACAUGUGAAGUGCUCGCGCGAUUAUUUGUUGAUAAUAAAAAAAACGAAAUUAUUUAAAUAAAUUUGAAGAUAUUUAGGCGUAUAAGUAUCACAACUUUUCGAUUGCAAUAAAAUAAGUGCAGUUAUAAUUACGAUUGUUGGGAAUUCGCGGUAAAGUGAGGUUAGCUUAAAUGUAAGUUUUCAUUUCAUUGAAUUAUACACAAAAAUAUUAAUAAAACUCAUUAGCUUUUAGCAAGAUUAUACACAUAUGAAUGCUGCGUGUUUGCUAAAAAGACUUUCUAUCACAACGAU